UAAAAGAUUUAUCGGUUUGGGGUGGGCUCGCGUCCGAUUAGGUAGUUGGUGAGGUAACGGCCCACCAAGCCGACGAUCGGUAGCCGACCUGAGAGGGUGAUCGGCCACAUUGGGAGUGAGACACGGCCCAAACUCCUACGGGAGGCAGCAGUGGGGAAUAUUGGGCAAUGGAGGAAACUCUGACCCAGCAACGCCGCGUGGAGGAAGAAGGUUUUCGGAUCGUAAACUCCUGUCCUUGGAGACGAGUAGAAGACGGUAUCCAAGGAGGAAGCCCCGGCUAACUACGUGCCAGCAGCCGCGGUAAUACGUAGGGGGCAAGCGUUGUCCGGAAUAAUUGGGCGUAAAGGGCGCGUAGGCGGCUCGGUAAGUCUGGAGUGAAAGUCCUGCUUUUAAGGUGGGAAUUGCUUUGGAUACUGUCGGGCUUGAGUGCAGGAGAGGUUAGUGGAAUUCCCAGUGUAGCGGUGAAAUGCGUAGAGAUUGGGAGGAACACCAGUGGCGAAGGCGACUAACUGGACUGUAACUGACGCUGAGGCGCGAAAGUGUGGGGAGCAAACAGGAUUAGAUACCCUGGUAGUCCACACUGUAAACGAUGAAUGCUAGGUGUAGGGGGUAUCGACCCCUUCUGUGCC
rnacentral:rRNA from 1 species